rnacentral:lncRNA from 1 species
CAAUGCCUUCCUUUUGCAGGAACUGCUGACAUACUCCAGCCACAUGAGGUCUAGCAUUGUCUUGCAUUAGGAGGAACCCAGGGCCAACCGCACCAGCAUAUGGUCUCACAAGGGGUCUGAGGAUCUCAUCUCGGUACCUAAUGGCAGUCAGGCUACCUCUGGCGAGUGUAACAGGAUAGGGGGAGAUCGCGAACGUCAGGUCUUCCCAGUAUGAAAAUGUGAUGCAAGGGCUUUUGUCAUCGACAGCCAUCAGUACCAUUAAGCCCUGCACAACUACCGUGCUGUUUCUCAUUUAACAACAGGAAUAAAUGAUGCUCAACUGGGACCGCUGGCUGAUGUGAUUUAUUAGGGAAAAAAAACACAACGCAAGGAGAGUACGCUAUACAUCUGUUACACGAGCACAUGGAGGGCUGUGCGGCCCCCCAAAGAAAUGCCACCCCACACCAUGACUGACCCACUGCCAAACCGGUCAUGCUGGAGGAUGUUGCAGGCAGCAGAACAUUCUCCACGGCGUCUCCAGACUCUGUCUCGUGCUCAGUGUGAACCUGCUUUCAUCUGUGAAGAGCACAGGGCGCCAGUGGCGAAUUUGCCAAUCUUGGUGUUCUCUGGCAAAUGCCAAACGUCCUGCACGGUGUUGGGCUGUAAGCACAACCCCCACCUGUGGACGUCGGGCCCUCAUGGAGUCUGUUUCUGACCGUUUGAGCAGACACAUGCACAUUUGUGGCCUGUUGGAGGUCAUUUUGCAGGGCUCUGGCAGUGCUCCUCCUUGCACAAAGGCGGAGGUAGCGGUCCUGCUGCUGGGUUGUUGCCCUCCUACGGCCUCCUCCACGUCUCCUGAUGUAUUGGCCUGUCUCCUGGUAGCGCCUCCAUGCUCUGGACACUACGCUGACAGACACAGCAAACCUUCUUGCCACAGCUCGCAUUGAUGUGCCAUCCUGGAUGAGCUGCGCUACCUGAGCCACUUGUGUGGGUUGUAGACUCCGUCUCAUGCUACCACUAGAGUGAAAGCACCGCCAGCAUUCAAAAGUGACCAAAACAUCAGCCAGGAAGCAUAGGAACUGAGAAGUGGUCUGUGGUCCCCACUGCAGAACCACUCCUUUAUUGGGGGUGUCUUGCUAAUUGCCUAUAAUUUCCACCUGUUGUCUAUUCCAUUUGCACAACAGCAUGUGAAAUGUAUUGUCAAUCAGUGUUGCUUCCUAAGUGGACAGUUUGAUUUCACAGAAGUGUGAUUGACUUGGAGUUACAUUGUGUUGUUUAAGUGUUCCCUUUAUUUUUUUGAGCAGUAUAUAUAUAUAUAUAUUUCAGCAGAUUUCGUGCGUAUUUUUUACACCCUAAUUCAUAAGUUAAUGCUUGGAGUCUUCACAGAUCGUGUGACAUAAAACACUACCUUUCUUUCUUUACAUUAAUGACAUUUAUGACAGUGUUAUGUGUCAUUGUUAAGAAUGUAAGAAUUGAAUUAGAACAUUGAAGUUAAACCCUGCACAAACUAUGGAUCUUGGCGUUCUCGGAAAAUGUCCUGUAUGUGUUACUAUGCCUACGUGUUUCACCGUGAAAACAGUUCUCAUGGGCACACAAAUCCAAAGUAAUGUAGGCAUGUGCCAUUGCAAAACCGAAUGCUUCUCACCGAACACUAAAACCUCUUCUAAUCAAAAUAGGAAACUUAUAAGCCUACAGUCAUUAGAGUAUAGUCUACUUGUUGGAUGAGCACUGGUGUCUAGCUGUAGGCUAGUGAUAUUGUCCACCAUCAUCAGCCGAUCCAAGAAAGAAAACUAAUAUUGACAGAAAAUAAUAAAUCUAAACUAACGGUCUACUACUUCUGGCGAUGGAUGGCACGGAGAAAACCAGUUCCCGCGCGCACCUGGAAAAACAACGCAAUGAGCGCUCUAAACAGCUGACUGACAAAAGCAAACGCUGAUAAAUCUAAUGCAUUGGCUAUCAAGGACAAGGACGCAUGGCAAACAAAUGUCAAAAAUUAAUAAGUACAAAGGAACCCCCCCACGUUUGUUUUUUGUUGCAUUUAGGGGCUCCCCGUAAUUCACACCUUCGAUGAAGGCCUUGUCUGCAUUAGCCUAGGACCCAACACACAACUUUCGACAUGGGAAACAAAAUGCAGCCUCUGCAGUAACCGAGUAUUCCAGACACUCUUUUCUUAUGAACCAGUUGCUAUUAAAUGAAAGUUUUUGUACAGAAAAGCUGUGGCUAGGGUAUGAUUCUAGGCUAAUCUGGUCUGGCUCCUUUGUUCCAAGAUCAUCGGGAACAGUCGGAGUUGGAGGCGGCUGUGGUGCCUUGAUCCUGGCUGCGCUUUUGGAAGGGUGGGUAGACUAGCUGGAGCUCGGCAGCGUCUUCACGGUUGGGCCUGGCGGCGGUCUGUGCUUUGACGCUGCUGCUCAUCGCUCUCCUAAUCCUCUUGGUGAAACCCAUUUCUGAUAUCCACGGUGGCAGAUGAAGUGGUUUGAGCUAGCUAAAUAGGCUAGGGCUAAUAACACAAACACCUUUUACAGCUAAAUUAGCUAGCUAAGAGUGAAGCAGCUUCAACGGUAUACUUGACCCUGCCCUAAUAAAUCGAAAUAAAAUAUUACAGGCGUAGGAGUAUCAUGUUAUUCACUUAGCCAACUGCAGAGAUGAGAAGUGUUUUUUCCCCAAAGGAAAAUACCUAACCACCUAGUGGCUAUCCAUAGCCCACCUACACAAACCGCAGCGCGCCCUGUCCGUUGUGUUGACACAAUGCAGAGGAGAAAGAUUUUUUUAUGUGCCAACCUGUCACUCAAUCAUUAAAACUUUGUUGCUAUUUUUAUAGAGGGACAUAAAACUACAACUGAGGGAGCUAAAGUUUGAACUGAGGCGGCUAAGCCCCCUCAUCCAGCCAGGCUCGCCCCAGGACCCUUGUCUGCAGUGUGAGAGGCCUGACAAGGAGGAGGCCAUAGAUGGUUUCGUCUCCCAGCGUCAAUCUUGGGGGUGUCUGAAGCCAAGUGGGUGACUGAAGUCUGCUUGAUUGAAGCAGGGUACAUGGGUCCCCCUCCUCUUCCGCUCCCCUCCUUUUCUGGAAUUGUAUUUAAUAUAAAUGUAUUAAUAAGCC